rnacentral:pre_miRNA from 1 species
UCUUAUGGAUAGGCAAAGAAAGUGGCUUCUUGAGAUGGAAUCUACUCCUGGUGAAGAAGCUGUGAA